rnacentral:rRNA from 1 species
UACGUAGGGGGCUAGCGUUGUCCGGAAUCAUUGGGCGUAAGCGAGCGUAGGCGGCCCGAUAAGUCUGCUGUAAAAGUCAACGGCUCAACCGGUUGAAAGCCGGUGGAUACUGUCGGGCUAGAGUUCGGAAGAGGCAAGUGGAAUUCCUGGUGUAGCGGUGGAAUGCGCAGAUAUCAGGAGGAACACCGAUGGCGAAGGCAGGUCUCUGGGCAUUAACUGACGCUGAGGAGCGAAAGCUGGGGAGCGAACAGG